UACGGGGGGUGCGAGCGUUGUCCGGAAUCACUGGGCGUAAAGGGCGCGUAGGUGGCCUUCUUAGUCAGACGUGAAAUCCCCGGGCUUAACUCGGGAACUGCGUCUGAUACUGGAAGGCUGGAGUUCGGGAGAGGAAUGUGGAAUUCCAGGUGUAGCGGUGAAAUGCGUAGAGAUCGGGAAGAACAUCGGUGGCGAAAGCGCUCUACUGGACCGCAACUGACACUCAGGGACGAAAGCUAGGGGAGCGAAUGGG
rnacentral:rRNA from 1 species